CUGAUUCAAGAAUAGUUUGACAAUGUUAAACAAUAGGCUAGGCUAGGUUAGAUUAGAAUUAGGAAACAUGGUCUGAGCUAUUUCCUAUUGAAUUCGAUGCCUGAUGAGACUUUAGAAC